rnacentral:rRNA from 1 species
UGGGGAAUAUUGCACAAUGGAGGGAACUCUGAUGCAGCGACGCCGCGUGAACGAAGAAGGCUUUCGAGUCGUAAAGUUCUUUUAUAUGGGAAGAUAAUGACGGUACCAUAAGAAAAAGCCCCGGCUAACUACGUGCCAGCAGCCGCGGUAAUACGUAGGGGGCUAGCGUUGUCCGGAAUCACUGGGCGUAAAGGGUGCGUAGGUGGUCCUUCAAGUCGGUGGUUAAAGGCUACGGCUCAACCGUAGUAAGCCGCCGAAACUGGAGGACUUGAGUGCAGGAGAGGAAAGUGGAAUUCCCAGUGUAGCGGUGAAAUGCGUAGAUAUUGGGAGGAACACCAGUAGCGAAGGCGGCUUUCUGGACUGCAACUGACACUGAGGCACGAAAGCGUGGGUAGCAAACAGG